GACAUAGGUGGCGAACGUUAUCCGGAAUUAUUGGGCGUAAAGGGUGCGUAGAUGGUAUGAUAAGUUAUCAGUGGUAAAUCGGGGCUCAACCUCGUGGAAGCUGGUAAUACUGUUAUACUUGAGUACAGGAGAGGUUAAUGGAAUUCCCUGUGGAGCGGUAAAAUGCGUUAGAUAUAGGGAAGAACACCAAUAACGGCGAAGGCAAUUAACUAUUCUGAUACUGACAUUGAGGCACGAAAGCGUGGGGAGCAAAAAAGG
rnacentral:rRNA from 1 species